rnacentral:lncRNA from 1 species
CCACCUCUUCAACAAUUAUUUCACAAGUAAUGCUUCAAUCAUUUUUUUCUUUUUCUUUUUUUUCCAAAGGUUUUGCACUAGUCACCCUCAACUCAAGUGAGGAACACAAUAUCCUUGGUAGGACCAAAGCCAAUAUUUUAAGCAUACUUCUGAAUUAGCCACUCUCAACUUAAGUUUUUAAAGCUUGGUUGAGGUGCACAAUAUCCACAAGGGACCAGGGCCAAAACAGAGUUUUCACACUUUUCUUCAUUCUUUACACAUCAAGCAUUUUCACCUUUUUUUUUCUUCCACCAAUGUUUUCAAUUUUUUUUUAUUUUUUUUUUUGGCUUUGGAGAUUAACUUGCAACUUUAGCAAUUCUUGAUUUUCUAAGUUGGUUUUGAAGAUUUUUACUUUGAAAUUCAAGUUGAGAUUCUGGGUUUCUUCUACUUAUUACGUAAGUUCGUGAUUUCUUCAUCUAAAAAUAUGAUUUGUGUUCUUGCUACUAUGGGUAACUAAAUCCACAACUAGGGUUGUGGGAACCAUGAACGAUUAACAAAGUAUGAAUAGUAAUUAAGUAAUUCUUGAAUAGUGUUAUUGCAUGCAUUGAUAAUUCUUUCGUUUAGAAGUCUUUUUAACUAGUGCACGCGUUAGAACUCACCUUGUUG